rnacentral:rRNA from 1 species
GACGAACCGUGCGAACGUUGUUCGGAAUCACUGGGCUUAAAGGGCGCGUAGGCGGGCUCACAAGUCAGGGGUGAAAGCCCACGGCUCAACCGUGGAAGGGCCUUUGAUACUGUGGGCCUCGAGGGGGGUAGGGGCGUGCGGAACUUCCGGUGGAGCGGUGAAAUGCGUAGAGAUGUGGAGGAACACCAGUGGCGAAGGCGACUCUUUGGUCUGUAACUGACGCUGAGGCGCGAAAGCGUGGGGAGCAAACAGG